GGGGAUGUAGCUCAGUUGGCAGAACUGUGCCUAGAAUGCACAACACCCUGAGUUCAAUCCCCAGCACCACG
rnacentral:tRNA from 1 species